CAGUGAAGGCCAGGGUAAAUGAAUUUAGUGGUGUUGAUGUCCGGUCACCAGGGUUGCUUUUAACUCCAGUAAAGUGGAUAUUGUCACCAUUAAUGACACUUUCAUUGACCUCAGUUACAUGAUUUCCACGUUCCUGUGUGAUUUCACCCACGGCAAGUUUCAGGGCAUUGUCAAGGCUGAGAACAGGAAGUUGGUCAUCAACAAGAAUCCCACCUCCAUCUUCCAGGAGUGAGAUUCCACCAAAAUCAAAUGGAUAAUGCUGGUGCUGACUAUGUUGUUGAAUACACUGGUGUCUUUACUAUCUUGGAGAAGGCUUGGGCUCACUUAGAAGGUAGAACUAAAAGGGUCAUUAUCUCUGACCCUUUCGCCAAUUCUCCUACGUUUGUGAUGUGUGAACCAUAAUUGGUAUGAAAACAACCAUAUGAUUUUCAGCUGUGCCUCUGGCAUCACCAACUGCUUAGUCCCCUUGCCAAGGUCAUCUAUGACAACUCUGGCCUCAUGGAGAGACUCAUAACCACAUUCCAUGCCAUCACUGUUACCCAGAAAAUGCUGGAUGGCCCCUCUGGGAGACAGGGGUGAUGACCGUGGGGCUCUCCAGAACAUUAUCCCUGCACCUACUGGCACUGCCAAGGCUAUGGACAAGGUCAUCUCUGUGUUGAAUGAGAAGCUCAUUAACAUGGCCUUUUGUAUCCACUGCCAGUGUGUCAGUUGUGGAACUGGCAUGCUAUCUGAAGAGAGUUGCCAAAUAUGAUAACAUCAAAAAGUUGGUGAAGCAGGCAUUGGGGCACUUCCUCAGGUGCAUCCUGGCCUACACUGAACACCAGGUUUUCCCCUCCGAUUUUAACAGUGACACCCACCCUUCUGGCUUUGAUGUUAGAGCUGGCAUUGCUCUCAAAGACCACUUUGUCAAGCUCAUUACCUGGUAAUGGCAAUGAAGUUGGUUGUAGCAACAGGGUAUUGGACCUGACGGGCCACAUGGCCACCAAGGAAUGA
rnacentral:lncRNA from 10 species